rnacentral:lncRNA from 1 species
GUUUGGCGCGACGGGAGGACGUACUAGCUAGACUGCAGUAGCGAACGUCACUAUAAUUAUGUUUUAUUUCAGCAUUUAAUUAUUUAAUAAUUAAAUGGUUCAGUUAGAUGAUCACUAUGAAUGUUUUGAUAUUUGUGAAUUGGUUUGAGUUGAUGAUUUACUAUGAUGCUUGCAAUUGGAGUUUUUGGAUCUUCGGUUUUGGAAUUAUGUAUUUAUACUUUGUGGUUUUCUACCCCUCGAGGUAGUCGGUUUCAAAAUGGAGUUUCCGAGUGGAAAACAGUUUUAAAAAGAUUUUCGAAUGGUUUUUAUCAAUGAUUGGAUAGAGUUUAAAAACAAAGCUUUCGGAUGGGGAGCACUUUUAAUAUGAUGACUGUUGUAUUGUGUAUCGCAUCAUCCAGCGCCUAAUGAGUGUUUAGAGGUAUGCAUCAUCUCUAAGGAUCGCUAGCUGUAUGGAAAGGCAUCGCAUGAACUGUUUGUAGAUUGGUAAAUGUAGGUUGUUGUUGUGAUCCUGAUGUUGUUGUUGGUACGCCGUGCAAAUACAAAGGAGACUCUGUCCGAGUGGACAGAGG